ensembl:snoRNA
CCUGCCCUAAAGGUGUUGCAGCCUGACUCGGUGUCUGGUUUGUGUCAUAUAGAGGCAGAGAAGAACAGGCUGUAACUACACUGAGCGUCCUGACCAGUGGUCGUUUGGAAUGAUUGAAGCCUUACACA